rnacentral:rRNA from 1 species
UACGUAGGGUGCAAGCGUUGUCCGGAAUUAUUGGGCGUAAAGAGCUUGUAGGCGGUUUGUCGCGUCUGGUGUGAAAUUUCGGGGCUCAACCCCGAACUUGCAGUGGGUACGGGCAGACUAGAGUGUGGUAGGGGAGACUGGAAUUCCUGGUGUAGCGGUGAAAUGCGCAGAUAUCAGGAGGAACACCGAUGGCGAAGGCAGGUCUCUGGGCCACUACUGACGCUGAGGAGCGAAAGCGUGGGGAGCGAACAGG